CUCAGAUAAUGGCAAACUCGGCGAAAGCCAAGGACGCAAAGCCACGGGUCUAAAGCAUUCUGCUAUGAUAGCCGGGUUACCGAA
rnacentral:ncRNA from 1 species